AUACGGAGGAUGCGAGCGUUAUCCGGAUUUAUUGGGUUUAAAGGGUGCGUAGGCGGACGAUUAAGUCAGCUGUGAAAUGCCCGCGCUUAACGCGGGAAGUGCAGUUGAUACUGGUUGUCUGGAGUGCCGUUGCCGUGGGGGGAAUGUGUAGUGUAGCGGUGAAAUGCAUAGAUAUUACACAGAACGCCGAUUGUGAAGACGCCUCCGGACGCGGUAAGCGACGCAGAGGGACGGAAGCGUGGGGAUCGAACAGGAUUAGAGACCCGGGUACGCCACGCAGUAAAAGAUGAUGGUGACCCCGCGGCGAUAGGCUGCCGGGGGCCAAGCGAAAGCGAUAAGUCAUCAACCUGUGGAGUACGACCGCAAGGUUGAAACUCAAAGGAAUUGGCGGGG
rnacentral:rRNA from 1 species